CCCGAUUUCUCCGUUUCUCACCCCAAAACCUCAGCCCCGCCCAUCGCCGUCUUCGCCCUGCCCCCCUCCCCCUCGGAUCUCUACAUUUCCCAGAAUCCUCGGCUGCGCUGCUUAGUCAGCAAUUUGGGCAGCGACGACGGGCUGUCAAUCACCUGGGAGAGGGCGGGGGGAGGGGGCGGGGCCUCGCUGGAGCCCCUCCCACUGAGGCUGACCAAUCAGAUGAACGGGACGAUGACGGCGUUGAGCGAACUUCCGGUGACGGCGGCCGAGUGGGAGAGAGGGACGGUGUUCACCUGCAGGGUGCGGCACGCCGAGCUGGUGGCACCGAUAGACAGGACAGUUGGGAGAAAAAAAGGUAAUUUUCCCAACCCGGCGGUCCAGACGGGUCCGGUGCGGCCGGAAAUGGGGGGGGAGGGGUCGUUUUUCGUUUUCAGCCGCCUGGAGGUGCCGAGGGAGGAGUGGGAGAGCGGCCGCAGCUUCGUCUGCACCGUGGUGCACGAGGGGCUCCCGCUGCGCUUCGUGCAGCGCAGCGUUUCCAGAAACCCCGGUAAUUAGCUUAAUUGGUGUU